AGGCGAGGGCGACGAGGCGGCACCGGACGGGUGGGAAGGAAGAGCAGAAGGCUGCAGUGGAGACGGGUAGGGGGUGAGAAGCCAGGUGGGGAAGCAAGUUGGUUGGGUAUGAUGGGGUGUGGUAGCGCACCGGGCAGGGAGGCGAGGGUCCCCUAGGAACAGGGAGGGGAGUGGCUUGUCAAAUUUUGAGACGGGGAGCGGAGGCCGUGAAGGCAAGUGUGAUGGAAGCAAAAGAACACAGCUCAACGGGCACAGGACCGGCCGUGCCAGAGAAGACACAGGGAGGGAAGAGGCAGCAGAAGGGGGAAAGAAAAGAGAGAGAGAAGGACGCGGGUCGCGCGGGCGCCGGGGAGCGGGGGCCGCGGUAGGCUUCACUCACAGUCCAGGUGCUUUUUCUUGGGCCCCAUGAUCUCGUGGGUCGUGGCCUUGCAUACUGUCUUGGAUACGGCAGAGCCGGUGACACUGUGCUGGGCGGCAGUGAUUCGGUCCGUCAGGCUCUGGCCGGACAUCUCUGCAGCUCCUCCACCACCCCACCCGCUCAGCAGCCGGCGGGGACUGGGACCCCCAAGAGCCGGAGGGUCCCCACCCCCCACCGCACCCCCUGCCCCCACCGGCUCCUUCCCCGCCUGCCGGCCUGGGGCGCGGUUCGGGGCUGCGCGCUGCCACCCAGUCCAGAGAGAACCGGCUCGUGUCACCCGCGGAGUCGGACAAGAUGUCGGGCACUCCCUUGCCCCCGCCUCAGUUCAGCCCACCCCUUCCCUGGUCAGCUGGAGCCGGGCAGGGUAAGAGGGACAGGCAGCUGCAGGAAAAUGGCGGCGCCAGGCUCCUCCUCGGAGCUUUCCGGGCUGCCCCCGGGUCACGUGACUCGGACACCGCCCCUCCUCCCUUCUCCCGCCCCUUUCCCCUUCCCUUUCCUCUUCGACGCCCGCCCUCCCUCGCUCAGCGAGGGAAGAGCUGGGCGGCGCCCGCGCGUUACGUGAUGGAACCCGCCAGGCGGGCGCAACAGGAGGCCCGCCCGAGGGGAGUGCACAGCCGGCGCGUCACGUGACUCUCCCUGCCAACAGCUUGACAAAGGAGGUGCAGCUGCCUUCACAGCUUCCCCUGAAGUGGGGGGUAUUAGGCCUCUGGCUCCCCGAGCUUUCCCAGCAGAGUCAAGAAUAUAUUUCAAGAUACCUCCCAAAGCCGCCCUCCUGGCUUAAAGGAGAAGGUUCCAAACGGCCUAUUUUCUGAACCUUCCAGCAGGCCUCUCUCUACCAUGGAACUAUUAAAGUUCUCCUUAUUUACUUA